GAUGAAGAAGGUAGCGAAAUGCGAUAAGUAAUGUGAAUUGCAGAAUUCAGUGAAUCAUCGAAUCUUUGAACGCACCUUGCGCUCCUUGGUAUUCCGAGGAGCAUGCCUGUUUGAGUGUCAUGAAAUUCUCAACCUUUCUGGCUUUUGCUAGUCAGGCUUGGAUUAUGGGAGCUGCUGGCUUUUGAAGUCGGCUCUUCUAAAAUGUAUUAGCAAGAUCAUUGCUGCUCAUCAUUGGUAUGAUAAUUAUCUAUAUCAUUGAGAGUCAGUUUCCUUUAUUGGAAGAUUUUGCUCCUAACGGUCUUUAGCAAGACAACAUUUGACGAUUUUGACCUCAAAUCAGGUAGGACUACCCGCUGAACUUAAGCAUAUCAAUAAGCGGAGGA
rnacentral:misc_RNA from 1 species